rnacentral:rRNA from 1 species
CKCAKCUCUAGUAUAGCACUUUAUACUGUGAAACUGCGAAUGGCUCAUUAAAUCAGUUAUCGUUUAUUUGAUAKUACCUUACUACAUGGAUACCUGUGGUAAUUCUAGAGCUAAUACAUGCUGAAAACCUCGACUUCGGAAGGGGUGUAUUUAUUAGAUAAAAAACCAAUGCCCUUCGGGGCUCCUUGGUGAAUCAUAAUAACUUAACGAAUCGCAUGGCCUUGCGCCGGCGAUGGUUCAUUCAAAUUUCUGCCCUAUCAACUUUCGAUGGUAGGAUAGUGGCCUACCAUGGUGGCAACGGGUAACGGGGAAUUAGGGUUCGAUUCCGGAGAGGGAGCCUGAGAAACGGCUACCACAUCCAAGGAAGGCAGCAGGCGCGCAAAUUACCCAAUCCCGACACGGGGAGGUAGUGACAAUAAAUACUGAUACGGGGCUCUUUUGGGUCUCGUAAUUGGAAUGAGUACAAUCUAAAUCCCUUAACGAGGAACAAUUGGAGGGCAAGUCUGGUGCCAGCAGCCGCGGUAAUUCCAGCUCCAAUAGCGUAUAUUAAAGUUGUUGCAGUUAAAAAGCUCGUAGUUGAACCUUGGGUCUGGCUGGCCGGUCCGCCUCACCGCGAGUACUGGUCCGGCUGGACCUUUCCUUCUGGGGAAUCUCAUGGCCUUCACUGGCUGUGGGGGGAACCAGGACUUUUACUGUGAAAAAAUUAGAGUGUUCAAAGCAGGCCUUUGCUCGAAUACAUUAGCAUGGAAUAAUAGAAUAGGACGUGCGGUUCUAUUUUGUUGGUUUCUAGGACCGCCGUAAUGAUUAAUAGGGAUAGUCGGGGGCGUCAGUAUUCAGCUGUCAGAGGUGAAAUUCUUGGAUUUGCUGAAGACUAACUACUGCGAAAGCAUUCGCCAAGGAUGUUUUCAUUAAUCAGGGAACGAAAGUUAGGGGAUCGAAGACGAUCAGAUACCGUCGUAGUCUUAACCAUAAACUAUGCCGACUAGGGAUCGGACGGUGUUUCUAUUAUGACCCGUUCGGCACCUUACGAGAAAUCAAAGUUUUUGGGUCUGGGGGGGGAGUAUGGUCGCAGCUGAAACUAAGAAKAUWKUMUAYGYMWGSAGMGAGAGCCCCACGCAC